GAUGAAGAACGUAGCGAAAUGCGAUAAGUAGUGUGAAUUGCAGAAUUCAGUGAAUCACCGAAUCUUUGAACGCACAUUGCGCCCUUUGGUAUUCCAAAGGGCAUGCCUGUUCGAGCGUCAUUUGUACCCUCAAGCUUUGCUUGGUGUUGGGCGUCUUGUCUCUAGCUUUGCUGGAGACUCGCCUUAAAGUAAUUGGCAGCCGGCCUACUGGUUUCGGAGCGCAGCACAAGUCGCACUCUCUAUCAGCAAAGGUCUAGCAUCCACUAAGCCUUUUUUUCAACUUUUGACCUCGGAUCAGGUAGGGAUACCCGCUGAACUUAAGCAUAUCAAUAAGCGGAGGA
rnacentral:misc_RNA from 1 species